rnacentral:snRNA from 1 species
AUGCUCCUUUUGACAGCACAUAUACAAAAAUUGGAACGAUACAGAGAAGAUUAGCAUGGCCCCUGCACAAGGAUUACAUGCAAAUUCGUGAAGCAUUCCAUAUUUUU